rnacentral:rRNA from 1 species
GAUGAACGCUGGCGGCGUGCCUAAUACAUGCAAGUCGAGCGAACAGACGAGGAGCUUGCUCCUCUGACGUUAGCGGCGGACGGGUGAGUAACACGUGGAUAACCUACCUAUAAGACUGGGAUAACUUCGGGAAACCGGAGCUAAUACCGGAUAAUAUAUUGAACCGCAUGGUUCAAUAGUGAAAGACGGUUUUGCUGUCACUUAUAGCUGGAUCCGCGCCGCAUUGGCUAGUUGGUAAGGUAACGGCUUACCAAGGCAACGAUGCGUAGCCGACCUGAGAGGGUGAUCGGCCACACGGGAACUGAGACACGGUCCAGACUCCUACGGGAGGCAGCAGUAGGGAAUCUUCCGCAAUGGGCGAAAGCCUGACGGAGCAACGCCGCGUGAGUGAUGAAGGUCUUCGGAUCGUAAAACUCUGUUAUUAGGGAAGAACAAAUGUGUAAGUAACUAUGCACGUCUUGACGGUACCUAAUCAGAAAGCCACGGCUAACUACGUG